GACGAACGCUGGCGGCGUGCUUAAUACAUGCAAGUAGGACGAAGUUGCGAACGGGUGAGUAACGCGUCGGUAACUACCAAUUAGAGGGGGAUAACAAUGGGAAACGAUAGCCAAUACCGCAUACUAGUAGAUGGACCUGCGUUGUAUUAGGUAGUAGGUAGGGUAAUGGCCUACCUAGGCGACGAUACAUAGCCGACCUGAGAGGGUGAUCGGCCACACUGGGACGGAGACACGGCUCAGACUCCUACGGGAGGCAGCAGGAGGGAAUGUUCGGCAAUGGGGGGAACCCUGACCGAGCAACGCCGCGUGAGUGAAGAGGGGUUUCGGAUCGUAAAGCUCUGUUGUUAAGGAAGCGGUACUUAACCAGAAAGGGACGGCUAACUACGUGCCAGCCGCCGCGGUAAUUC
rnacentral:rRNA from 1 species